GAUGAACGCUAGCGGCAGGCUUAACACAUGCAAGUCGUGGGGCAGCGCGGACUUCGGUCUGGCGGCGACCGGCAAACGGGUGCGGAACACGUACGCAACCUCCCUCAGAGCGGGGAAUAGCCUCUCGAAAGAGAGAUUAAUACCCCAUAGUAUCUUGAAGACACAUGUCUAUGAGAUUAAAGCUUCGGCACUUUGAGAUGGGCUGCGGCUGAUUAGGUAGUUGGUAGGUAACGGCCUACCAAGCCGACGAUCAGUAGCUGAUGUGAGAGCAUGAUCAGCCACACGGGCACUGAGACACGGGCCCGAUCCUACGGGAGGCAGCAGUGAGGAAUAUUGGUCAAAUGGAGGAAACUCUGAACCAGCCAUGCCGCGUGGAGGAUGAAGGUCCUCUGGAUUGUAAACUCCUUUAUAAAAGAAGAAACCCCAUUUUU
rnacentral:rRNA from 1 species